rnacentral:rRNA from 1 species
GAUUCACUUCGGUGAUGACGCUGGGAACUCGAGCGGCGGAUGGGUGAGUAACACGUGGGUAACCUGCCCUAAAGUCUGGGAUACCACUUGGAAACAGGUGCUAAUACCGGAUAACAACAAUAGCUGCAUGGCUAUUGCUUAAAAGGCGGCGAAAGCUGUCGCUAAAGGAUGGACCCGCGGUGCAUUAGCUAGUUGGUAAGGUAAUGGCUUACCAAGGCGACGAUGCAUAGCCGAGUUGAGAGACUGAUCGGCCACAUUGGGACUGAGACACGGCCCAAACUCCUACGGGAGGCAGCAGUAGGGAAUCUUCCACAAUGGGCGAAAGCCUGAUGGAGCAACGCCGCGUGAGUGAAGAAGGUUUUCGGAUCGUAAAGCUCUGUUGUUGGUGAAGAAGGAUAGAGGUAGUAACUGGCCCCUAUUUGACGGUAAUCAACCAGAAAGUCACGGCUAACUACGUGCCAGCAGCCGCGGUAAUACGUAGGUGGCAAGCGUUGUCCGGAUUUAUUGGGCGUAAAGCGAGCGCAGGCGGAAAGAUAAGUCUGAUGUGAAAGCCCCCGGCUUAACCGAGGAAUUGCAUCGGAAACUGUGUUUCUUGAGUGCAGAAGAGGAGAGUGGAACUCCAUGUGUAGCGGUGGAAUGCGUAGAUAUAUGGAAGAACACCAGUGGCGAAGGCGGCUCUCUGGUCUGUAACUGACGCUGAGGCUCGAAAGCAUGGGUAGCGAACAGGAUUAGAUACCCUGGUAGUCCAUGCCGUAAACGAUG